GGAUGCGAUCAUACCAGCACUAAUGCACCGAUUCCGAUCCCAAUCAGAACUCCGAAGGUUAAGCGUGCCUUGGGCGAGAGUAGUACUAGGAUGGGUGACCCCCUGGGAAGUCCUCGUGUUGCAUCCC
rnacentral:rRNA from 1 species